AUUGAACGCUGGCGGAAUGCUUUACACAUGCAAGUCGAACGGCAGCACGGACUUCGGUCUGGUGGCGAGUGGCGAACGGGUGAGUAAUGUAUCGGAACGUGCCCAGUCGUGGGGGAUAACGUAGUGAAAAUUACGCUAAUACCGCAUACGAUCUAUGGAUGAAAGCGGGGGAUCGCAAGACCUCGAGCGAUUGGAGCGGCCGAUAUCAGAUUAGGUAGUUGGUGGGGUAAAGGCCCACCAAGCCAACGAUCGGUAGCUGGUCUGAGAGGACGACCAGCCACACUGGAACUGAGACACGGUCCAGACUCCUACGGGAGGCAGCAGUGGGGAAUUUUGGACAAUGGGCGAAAGCCUGAUCCAGCCAUUCCGCGUGCAGGAUGAAGGCCCUCGGGUUGUAAACUGCUUUUGUACAGAACGAAAAGGUUUCUACUAAUACUAGGAGCUCAUGACGGUACUGUAAGAAUAAGCACCGGCUAACUCCGUGCCAGCCGCCGCGGUAA
rnacentral:rRNA from 1 species